CGAACGGGUGAGUAACGCGUAGGAACCUGCCUCGACGAGGGGAUAACACUUGGAAACAGGUGCUAAUACCGCAUGUGGUCGCGAGAAGAAAGCCGAAAGGCGCGUUGAGAGGGGCCUGCGUUCGAUUAGCUAGUUGGUGGGGUAAGGGCCUACCAAGGCGACGAUCGGUAGCUGGUCUGAGAGGAUGGUCAGCCACACUGGGACUGAGACACGGCCCAG
rnacentral:rRNA from 1 species